GACGAACGCUGGCGGCGUGCUUAACACAUGCAAGUCGAGCGGUAAGGCCCUUCGGGGUACACGAGUGGCGAACGGGUGAGUAACACGUGGGUGAUCUGCCCUGCACUUCGGGAUAAGCCUGGGAAACUGGGUCUAAUACCGGAUAGGACUCCGGACUGCAUGGUCUGGGGUGGAAAGCUUUUGCGGUGUGGGAUGGGCCCGCGGCCUAUCAGCUUGUUGGUGGGGUGAUGGCCUACCAAGGCGACGACGGGUAGCCGGCCUGAGAGGGUGACCGGCCACACUGGGCCUGAGAGACGGCCCAGACUCCUACGGGGGGCAGCAGGGGGGAAUAUUGCACAAUGGGCGCAAGCCUGAUGCAGCGACGCCGCGUGAGGGAUGACGGCCUUCGGGUUGUAAACCUCUUUCAGCAUCGACGAAGCGAAAGUGACGGUAGGUGCAGAAGAAGGACCGGCCAACUACGUGCCAGCAGCCGCCGUAA
rnacentral:rRNA from 1 species